GAUCCAUUAAAUACGCCAUUAGGGGACCGCUCGAGAGAUCUUGCCUAAAAAAAUUUUAGAGACCGCACCCACCCCCUAGCCGUAGGCAAACACCCUCCGAAAGUAGCAUAAAAGUCUGCAAUUCUUGUCAUUUUGCCCGUUUGAUUAGGAAAAUGGCUUCGCCAGCCUCACCAAAGCAACCUGAUCUAUUUAAUAAGCCGUCAGGGG
rnacentral:lncRNA from 1 species